rfam:Zea mays cultivar B73 chromosome 5, whole genome shotgun sequence.
UAGCUCAGUUGGUAGAGCACGAGAUUUUGAACCAUGAGGUUGGGGGUUCAACCCCUC